AAAAAAAGAAAAGAGAGAGAGAGAGAGAGAGAGAGAGAGAGAAGCAAAGAAACUUGACUUCCUUCCUUCCAAGGUGAGGGAUGUGCCCUAGUUAAGUCUAGGAAAACAGCUUCUCUAUGGUCUUAACUAGAGCUAAGCAUGCUGGUUAUAUGAGGCUGAUUUAUCUCACAACUAAGUGGUGACAUGAUAGAAGUGCAUAACAUGCAUAGCAUGGAGAAAGUGGAUAGAGAGAACUUUUUCUCUCUUAUAACUCAUGGACAUCCAAUGAAGCUGAAUGUUGUAAGAUUCAGGAUAGAUAAAAGAAAGCAUUUCUUCAUGUAGUUGCAGGCUUCCUCAAACUCAGCCCUCCAUAUGUUUUAAGACUACAAUUCCCACCAUCCCUGACCACUGGUCCUGCUAGCUAGGGUGAUAAUAGCUAUGUUCUGCCUCCACUAUCAGAGACAAUAUGGUUCUGAAUACUAGUUGCUGGAAACCCUAGGAGGGGAGAGUGCCCUUACGCUCAGGUUGUGCUAGUGGACUUCUCUAGGAACUAGAUGGGUCAUUUUCCUGACCCAGCAGGCUCUUCUUAUGUUCUUAUGUGUGUAUUAUGUAUGUCUUCCAACUUGGAUAGCUUCAUACCACAAUAACUUUGCUAAUAUAUGCACAGCUUCAAAUUUCUGAUUAUUGCAUUUUGAAAGUGGAUCUGUGUCGUACAGUGGUACCUCGGGUUAAGUACUUAAUUUGUUCUGGAGGUCCAUUCUUAACCUGAAACUGUUCCUAACCCGAAGCACCACUUUAGUUAAUGGGGCCUCCUGCUGAUGCCACGCCGCUGGAGCACAAUUUCUGUUCUCAUCCUGAAGCAAAGUUCUUAACCCGAGGUACUAUUUCUGGGUUAGCGGAGUCUGUAACCUGAAGCAUAUGUAACCCGAGGUACCACUGUACUGUGCAAAAUACCCAAGUGCAGGGCAUUUGUGGAGGGCAGCUGGCUGGCCACCAAAUCCUUUAUAAACAGCUGGUCCCCCUUCUCCCUGCUUGCUUUCUGCACUAUUCUGAGGAACCGAUCUUUCAUGAAGAAGCAAAGUACAUGUCAAAGGUUGUGUAACUGUACAUGUAGGGCAUCAUGAUAUUGUUUACGAUUUAGCUGGCAUCUUUAUAGAUCAGAAAUAUGGCUGGUCUUUCAUACCCUUCAUGAAGCAGAAGCCAGAAGACGUAUGAUGCUUUUAGAACGAUGACAAUGAGAAGGCAUCUGUAAGAAGAUUCACAGACAGGAAAAAUAGGCAACAGGCAACCAGCCCCAGCAUGGAGUCUCUAGAUAAGUAGUUUAAUUGCCAGACUGCAUUGCUUGGAAGGAGAAGGAAAUCUAAGCUAAAUUAAAAGAUUAGAGAGAGACAUUUUUUUCAUCAAGUGGCAACAAAUAGAAGAAAUGGUCGUCUGCUCAGGAGAAAAUAAGAAGAAAGGAGCUGUGAAUGUUGCAAAAAUACAUCCAUUAGGCCUGUGUUAUCAAAACGUGCCUGUGCCCCUGUAUCCAGCCGUACAUUUCCAUAGCAACAAGGCCUUGUCAACAGAGAAGAAAGUGUUUUUGUCAGGGAUAGGCCCAAACGCAUAAAAGCCAUUUCUAUCUGGGAGCAGUACAAUCCUCUUAAAUCAAUACAGCACACGUAGUAAUUGCACUCACCAUUUCUCCCAUAAAUCUUCACUUUUACCCCUUUCAUUUCCUGCAACUUGUCAUCAUAUGAACUAGAGCUGGUUUUACCUGCUUUCUGCAGUUUUGAUUGCCCCUUACCGUCUUCCAUAGUAAACAGGUUCUAUGUUUGGAAGAUAAGCCAUUUCCUCCAUGCCUAGAUAGAAAUGUUGUGUAGAAUAGUUCCAAGCUGGAGGUCUUCACUUUAUUGUCUUCCUGGUGUUUCUUUCAAGACCAAGGGCACCAGUUCUAGCUCCUAAAAGUGCUAGUGGUGGAACUCACCUGUACUGGAAUGCAAGUACCGACUCUGGGUUAUAUUCAGGGCUGCAGCUCUGAUUGCACAAGACUCCCAUGCACACAAUGGAACUUCCUCUUCCUCUACAGUCAAAGGUGGAUUUAGGGGAGCAGGGCCUUGGGGACACCACAAUGAAGAUUUAGAAUAGAGCAUGAGAGGUGGGGGGGGGCACUGAAUUUUGGUACCACACAGAUAGAUUCCAAGGUCUGCCACUGUCCUCUGACCAAAAAGCUACAAUUUAGUUUCCAAUUAAGGUUUCAGAUGAAGGUUUCUUGAGAAACAUAUCCUAUUGAAAUGAAAACCAGUAAUAAGACACUUCUUACUUUGAGGGACCUAAUAUAUACAGUGGUGCCUCGCAAGACGAAAUUAAUCCGUUCCGCGAGAGUCUUCGUCUAGCGGUUUUUUCGUCUUGCGAAGCAACCCCAUUAGCGGCUUAACGGAUUAGCGCUAUUAGCGGUUUAGCGGCUAUUAAAGGCUUAAAGGCUUAGCGGAUUAGCUGCUAAAAGGCUAUUAAAGGCUAUUAAAGGCUUAGCAGGUUAGAUAAAGGGGGCAAAAAGCGAAAAAAAAAUCUCAAGACUUGCAAGACAUUUUCGUCUUGCGAAGCAAGCCCAUAGGGAAAUUCGUCCUGCGAAGCAACUCAAAAACGGAAAACCCUUUCGUCUAGCGGGUUUUCCGUCUUGCGAGGCAUUCGUCUUGCGGGGCACCACUGUAUAGGCAAUUUCUGAUGUGUUGCAAAUAACAUAAAUACCAUAAGAACCAAACCUGGUUGCUUCCGCUGGGAGCUUAAAAAGUAUGUUUUAAAGUAUCUGAUAUUUAAUCAGAUUUCCCCUAGAAUGGUGGCUGUUGUUUUGAGACUUGGAUCAGUUAUUAUCAGCUUUUCAGCAUUCAGUACCAUUGGCAGCCUGUAAAGGAUAAGAAUUAGAGGAGAUAUAAUGAUUAUGACAGGAACACUAACAAGACAAUAUCUUGCAUCUCAGAGAGCCCCACAUUUUGACAGAUGGAAAUGAAAAUGUUAAUUUGGAAGUGAAGUAGAAAGAAAUAAUUCCUAACACACAUACUCAGUGUGGUUCAAAGAGAAUGAGAUGCGGGGGAAGGACACAUUGUUCUAACCGACAAUGCUUUUUUUUGGGGGGGGGGGGACUGCCGGCCCAGAAAUGUAUCGUUCCUACCACUGACUUAUUCCUAUCUCAAGGCACCCUCAGCAUCAGAUAUUAUGAAAAUGCAGUGGAAGAGGAAGGAUUAGAAGUAUGUACUGAGUGAAAAGCAUAAUUGAUUAGUAGAACUCAUGCUUUGCAUGUAAAAGGUCUAGUGCCUUCUAUGUGUGCCCACUGUGGUAGUUAAAUGCACCAGAAACACAUAGCUCAUUCCCUUUGGUGAGAUGGCCUCAAGACUGCCUGUAGCUAAUUAGCGUAGAGAAGGUACUAAAAAAUGAGGGCCCUAUCCUGCUGAACAAGGAGAAUCCCAUUCCUUGAAACAUAACAUGGAAAUUACUGAGAGGUUAAAGAAUAUAGCCGUAUAAAAUGCCACUGUAAUGAUGAGAUCAUCUCAUUAUCUUUCCCCACUUUGAAAGUUAUAUAUACAGGACUUCCCCUGCCCCAGCAGGAACUCAGUUCCGGCACCUCAUCUUUCCCUCGCUCUCAUCCUUCAGUCACCUUUUGUUUCAUUGGGUCCUUACAGUGGCAUCACCCAUCUGUUACUUGUCUUUUAGUUGACAUGUUUGAAAGCUGUCGCAUAUAAAACAGAAGUUGCUCUUUAUGGGUCUACAGAAUUAAAGUGUACCUCUGUUCCCUUUAGGAAAACACAGAACUACUUGGAACAUAACGUUCAAUUAUUGGCCCUAAAACGCACUGCAUCUGGAGAAAGGUUACGGCAAGAUUAUGAUUUUUGGAAGAGAACCCAGCAGUCUUUUGUGGGAAUGACAAAAACGCCCAUCUGCUUUGAAGCUCACAGAACGUUUGGUGCAUUAUUGAUGGGUAUUCUUUAUUUGAAUUUUUUUAAGCAAAAUGUGUGAACUGCAUAAUCAAAAGAUAAAAUAAUUAUCAAUAAUAAUUAUUAUUAUCAAUUAACAAAAAAACACACACAAAAAACACACCCCAAAACAAGUAUGCAUAGCUAUUUGUUUUCUGGGUAGGCUUGCUGAAAUGAAGCAGUUUUUCUUUUCUUUUUUAUCAGGCAUCUAAAAAAAUGGUGCCUGUCAAAGGGAGGGCAGGGUGUUCCAAAGCAUAGGUGCUGCCACACUGAAAGAUCAAGUCUUCACAGAUGUGGAACAAACAUGUGGCAUUUGUAAAAGUGCAAGUUCCAUAGAUCAAACCAAUUGAGUAGGUAUGUAUGGGGCAAAGUGAUCGUUCAAAUAAACUGGUCUGAGGCCACAGGAUACAGUGUUUGCAUUGAAGUUUCACAGAGAAAUGGUUGUACCCACUGAUCACCAAUUUAAACUAUUGGAAACUUGAAAGCAAAACCAAUAUGCCUGUGAUGAUAUGAUUAUUUACCUGUUAUUUGUUGUCCUCACUAGAAGGUUUUGCUCUGUGAAUAAAUAAAAUAAAUGAAAAUAUCAAAA